AGGUUCUGGAGAUAUAAGCAGUGAGCAAGAAGUGGACGUGGGCCCCAUCCCAACAGAGCUUACAUUCUCAGGGAGGGAAGCAGCCCAUAAGCACACUAGCAAGCAAGCAAGCAAAUUCUCCAACUCUGCAUCUCUUACCUUUACAUUUAACCUGCACAUUAAAGGCCCAAGGAUUGGUUGAGCAGAGACAGACGUCUCCUCUGCACACAGAAGGACCUCACAUAUUACGGCCUCUGCCUGGAAAUGAAGCUCAUCCCGGGAAAAGAGGCGUGAGUGAUGGAGAGCGGGCGUGAGCGUUGGAGAGCGGGCGUGAGUGAUGGAGAGCACCCUCGUCUGAGCUCACGGACACCGCCUGAGUGAACCGGUGCUAUCUUUGGCACUUUUCACGAAGCUGUGAGACUAACAGGCAUGACCCAGUUGAAUGGAGUCUCUGCUUGGAGGCCAGGCCGUGAUUGGAGACCUACCCUCACACUUAUAAGAAUAAACACUUCAUUGGAAGACUUCUAAGUCGUUCAGAGAAUGGAAACCAAUUAUUUCUCUUCUGGGAGAAACUGGAGCAGGAAGCAAGUUCUCCUAGCCGCACGUGGAAUGCAAAUGUCCAAAUGUUGCGCGUGGGAAAUAAAUCGAAUUUCUGAGGGUUAAACGAAGAAUCUGCGACAUGGAUAAAAUUCUAUCUCUGCAUCUUACAGGUAUUAAAAUCCAGUUCCCUGCGUGCAUGCUCCAGUUUAAGUGGAUGGCUGAUUCUAUCCCGUCAUCCUGAACUUUGUAGCUUCCUUUAAGAGAUGAUAAAUUAGGGAACAAAAGGAUCUUCCUUUCCGUGACAGCAGCACUUUCGGGAGGCUGAGCAUGUACCUCUGACUCAAGGCUGAGUUAUUAUAAGAAAAACAGAAAAGGAAGGAAGAAGGUUUUAAUUUCCCACUGUUGAAGACAGUUUGUCAGGAUGAGAGACAGACAGACAGAGCGUGCACAGACCUGCACUUCUCUUCGGGGAUGAAUAGGGCAAGUGUUUCAUUCAUGACGUCUUCAAAGCGUUGCCCGGAAUGCAAAAUGACAUGGUUUUUCUGGAAUACUAGUCUGUUUGAAAGGCCAAGGAAAGGUGAUACAUUUUGAAUGCACAUUUGGGUGACUUCAGGGUCUCCUUCUAUAACCAGAAUGGAGAUGUCCCUGAAAGGCUGUCAACAGAGAAAAAAAGAAUUCUGGUUAAAAUUCCAUUAUUCCAGUUUUUUUUUUGUUGUUGUUGUUUUUUUUUUUUGCCUGCGUUGUGUAAUUGAAGAUGUCUUCCAAGCAGAAACAGACCCUUGUUUCAUGUGGAAAAAAAAAUACAUAGACUAAUAGACUACAGAGAAAUAGAGGUAAAAAGAAGAUUGCUGCCACUUCCCAGUUAAGGAAUGCGUUGCUUUCACCCACCGUGGUCCCUGCUGCCUGUGACUCCAACACAAGAAUCAAUCCAUCUGUCUUUCUGCCACCACAGACAUCUCCCUAAAUUGAUCUAAUCUUGUGUCUAUUCUUAAAAUUCUUCGGAUUGCUUCUUGUUAAUAGAUAAUUGAAGUUCAGUAGUACAGUCUUUCCAUCUCCCUUUCCUUCCUGAUUGUCAAAUCACUUUGACCCAAUAAAUCUCACUUAAUUUUUUAAUUGUAUGGGAAUUUAAAAAUGGCACAUGUUUUAUCAUAUGCCUGGGCUGCUCUACCCAACUUUUCAAAGUUCUUUCCAUCCUUCAAAGUCUAGCUCAGCACCUACAUCUUCAAACGGUAAAACUUCUCUAAUUUUUUUGCAUGAAAUAAAUGUGCCUAUCCAAUCAGGAUGAGCCACUCAGAUGUGUGACUGAUGUCACACAGGGCUUCAAGCUCAGAAGAGCCCACCGGAUGAAUGGUUUAUUUCUCUGCUGUUGUCAUCUUGAAAUUUGAAGAAGGGGCCCAGCAUUUUCAUUUUGCACUGGACUCACAAACGAUAUAGCCAGUCCUGCCUCCAGUACUCCUAAAGUUAACAAUUUCAUAUCUCUGCUCCAAUAAUUCUCAUCCACAUUGUUGUUUUGAAGUUACCUUUGUAACUCCCACUAGAUUGGGAGCUCUAGGAAGCCACAGAUCUUAUUUGUUGAGUUUCUACAAGUGUGGGGAAGAGUAGUGUGCACAGAUUAAAGCUGCCAAUGGGAAGGUAAGAAUACUAUCAGAGUUCAUCAGAACAGAACUGAAAACAGCCAACAUCUCCUGAGAAUAGCAGUGCUAUGUUCUGAGUGUUUGUGUCCCCCCAAAAUUCAUGUGCUGAAAUCUAAUUCCCAACAUGUUGGUAUUAAGAGGUGGGGAAUUUGAGAGGUGAGUAGGUCAUGAGGGUGGAGCCCUCAUGGGUAGGAUUAGUGUUCUUAUGAAAGAGGCCUGACAGAGCAUAUGCCCUUUUACCACAUAGAAGGUGCCAUCUAUGAAGAACUAGCUCUCAGUAGACACCAAAUCUUCUGGCACCUUGAUCUUGGACUUCCCAGCCUCCAGAACUGUGAGCAAUAAGUUUCUGUUGUAUAUAAAUUACCCAGUCAAAGGUAUUUUGUUACAGCCGCCAGAAUGCAUUAAGACAAAUAGUAAAAAGAACAAAGAAGUUUUGCACACGUAGUAUGCACCAAGCACUGUGCUUUGCACUGCGCGAGAAAAUCCAACCUGGUUCUCACAACAUGAAGCAUAGGUACUAUAUUAUGGCUUCAGUUUCCAGAGGAAGAAACUAAGGCUUAGAGAGGGAAGGUGUCACACACUAAGCAGCAGUAGCAGGAGUCGCUGUCAGUUCUGGCUCCUAGGAAAUCAAUGAGUCUGUAUUCAUAAAUCAUAGAAAAUUGUGACAUUUUCAUGCAAUAAAAAACCUAAGAAUGUUCUUUAUAUAUAUACAUAUAUUUUUAUUAUACUUCGAGUUCUAGGGUACAUGUGCGCAACGUGCAGGUUUGUUACAUAUGUGUACAUAACAUUAGGUAUAUCUCCUAAUGCUAUCCCUUCCCCCUCCCCCCACCCCACAAC
rnacentral:lncRNA from 10 species